rnacentral:rRNA from 1 species
ACUUGCCCCGAAGAUGGGGAUAACCUCUGGAAACGGGGGCUAAUACCCAAUGUGCUCGGUGAUUCGGUUGAUCGAGUAAAGCUCCGGCGCUUCGGGAGAGGCCUGCGGCCCAUCAGCUAGUUGGUAGGGUAACGGCCUACCAAGGCAGAGACGGGUAGGGGGCGUGAGAGCGCGGACCCCCACACUGGCACUGCGACACGGGCCAGACUCCUACGGGAGGCAGCAGUAAGGAAUAUUGCGCAAUGGACGAAAGUCAGACGCAGCGACGCCGCGUGGGCGAUGAAGGCCUUCGGGUUGUAAAGCCCUUUUAUGGGGGAAGAGAAAAAGGACGGUACCCCAUGAAUAAGUCCCGGCUAACUACGUGCCAGCAGCCGCGGUAAAACGUAGGGGACAAGCGUUAUCCGGAUUCACUGGGCGUAAAGAGCGUUGAGGCGGUUCCGUAAGUUGGGCGUGAAAGCUCCGGGCUUAACCCGGAGAUGUCGUUCAAUACUGCGGGGCUUGAGGACAGCAGAGGAAGGUGGAAUUCCCGGUGUAGUGGUGAAAUGCGUAGAUAUCGGGAGGAACACCCGUGGCGAAGGCGGCCUUCUGGGCUGUUCCUGACGCUGAAGGCGAAAGCUAGGGGAGCGAACGGGAUUAGAUACCCCGGUAGUCCUAGCUGUAAACGAUGGAUGCUGGGUGUGGGGGGUGUAAAUUCCCUCUGUGCCGAAGCAAACGCGUUAAGCAUCCCGCCUGGGGACUACGGCCGCAAGGCUAAAACUCAAACGAAUUGACGGGGGCCCGCACAAGCAGCGGAGCGUGUGGUUUAAUUCGAUGCUACACGAAGAACCUUACCUGGGUUUGACAUGCACGUGGUAGGGAACCGAAAGGGGACCGACCUUCGGGAGCGUGCACAGGUGCUGCAUGGCUGUCGUCAGCUCGUGCCGUGAGGUGUCGGGUUAAGUCCCGUAACGAGCGCAACCCUUGCCCUUAGUUACAAGUGUCUAAGGGGACUGCCCGGGACAACUGGGAGGAAGGUGGGGAUGACGUCAAGUCAGCAUGGCCUUUAUAUCCAGGGCUACACACACGCUACAAUGGCCAGUACAAUAGGUAGCCAAGUCGUGAGACGGAGCCAAUCCUUAAAGCUGGUC